rnacentral:rRNA from 1 species
AUUGAACGCUGGCGGCAUGCUUUACACAUGCAAGUCGAACGGUAACAGGCCGCAAGGUGCUGACGAGUGGCGAACGGGUGAGUAAUGCAUCGGAACGUGCCCAGUCGUGGGGGAUAACGCAGCGAAAGCUGUGCUAAUACCGCAUACGAUCUAUGGAUGAAAGCGGGGGACCGUAAGGCCUCGCGCGAUUGGAGCGGCCGAUGUCAGAUUAGGUAGUUGGUGGGGUAAAGGCCUACCAAGCCAACGAUCUGUAGCUGGUCUGAGAGGACGACCAGCCACACUGGGACUGAGACACGGCCCAGACUCCUACGGGAGGCAGCAGUGGGGGAAUUUUGGUACGAAUA